CCUCCGGGCUUCCGCCGUUCUUACUAUUUUUCAAUUUCCUUAAGGCUGAACCAGCCAAGCCGCGUGAAUGACGAAGGUGCCAAGCAUUGUAAACUUCUUUUGUCAAGGGACAAAAUCAGGCUCGAGAGCCUGACCGAGGGUACUUGAAGAAAAAGCAUCGGCUAACUCCGUGCCAGCAGCCGCGGUAAUACGGAGGAUGCGAGCGUUAUCCGGAUUUAUUGGGUUUAAAGGGUGCGUAGGCGGGCUGUUAAGUCAGCGGUAAAAGCCCGGGGCUCAACCCCGGCGAGCCUUUGAAACUGGCUGUCUUGAGAUGUCGAGAGGUAUGCGGAAUGCGCAGUGUAGCAGUGAAAUGCUUAGAUAUUGCGCAGAACUCCGAUUGCGAAGGCAACAUACCGGCGGCGAUCUGACGCUGAGGCACGAAAGCGUGGGUAUCGAACAGGAUUAGAUACCCUUGUAGUC
rnacentral:rRNA from 1 species